UACGUAGGGUGCGAGCGUUGUCCGGAUUUAUUGGGCGUAAAGGGCUCGUAGGUGGCGUGUCGCGUCGGGAGUGAAAGCCCGUUGCUUAACGGCGGGUUGGCUUUCGGUACGGGCAUGCUGGAGUGCGGCAGGGGAGACUGGAAUUCCCGGUGUAGCGGUGAAAUGCGCAGAUAUCGGGAGGAACACCGGUGGCGAAGGCGGUUCUCUGGGCCUGUACUGACGCUGAGGAGCGAAAGCGUGGGGAGCGAACAGG
rnacentral:rRNA from 1 species